rnacentral:rRNA from 1 species
AGUGAACGCUGGCGGCAGGCCUAACACAUGCAAGUCGAGCGGCAGCGGGUUCCCGCGAGGGGAUGCCGGCGAGCGGCGGACGGGUGAGGAACACAUCGGGAAUCUGCCUGGUUGUGGGGGAUAACGGUAGGGAAACUUACGCUAAUACCGCAUGCGACCCUGAGUCGACGGACUGGGGGUGAAAGUGAGGGACCUUCGGGCCUCACGCGACCAGAUGAGCCGAUGUCGGAUAGCUAGUUGGCGGGGUAACGGCCCGCCAAGGCGACGAUCCGUAGCUGGUC